CCCGUUUCCACCGCAUUGUCAGCCGGUGGUGGCUGCAGACAUGCAUUUGGGGAGGGGAAAGAGGAGGAGGAGGGAACAGGACAACAGAUGGGAGGCCAGCAUCCAAGAGCCAAUAGUGAGUCCGGGAUGGCUCUGGGUAUGUGUGUGUGGUGGGUGCUAGUCUGUCUGUCUCAGUCUCAGAGAUUACGGUUUACAACUUGCUAUGUUCCUUUUGCUGGAUGGAAGUGGAAGACUGCGAGAGAGCAUGAAUCGAGGGAGGGAAAAAUCAGAUGGCAGUGUGAAAACCAAAUACAAACAUUGGUAGAAGUUAUUUUUUGUUCUCUAUGAGAAAAUGAAGACAGUGUACAUAUGACUAGGCUCGGGAACUUGAGAAACCACAGGAGACAGGUGGGGUCUCUGACCUCAUCUUGGGGCUCAUGGGCAUCCAUAGAGUCCUAAGACAUCUCACUGCUUCUGCAUGCCUCUAAAAUCUAGUCUUGUAUCAAGAAUGUGCUUCCAUGCAUCUCCAGGUUCUGGAUAAAUUAAAAAGAGGGAGGGAGGGAAAGACUCUCUCCUGAACUCAUGCUGAGCUUUUGAAAUUCCUCUCAAACACAGCAUGACAUCAGGAACAAGCUCUUAUCCUUAUCUAGGCUCAGGAAAAGAGUAAGCACACUGACCUUUCACUGGGCUUUAGAGAUACUUGGAAAGCAGUAGGCUUUCUUCUUGAUUCUGAAUGCUUUCAAAACUCCAUGUGACAUUGGAGGUGAGAGCUUGCUUGUCUCCUGACCCAGGAGAGAACAGGUCUGGUGGCGCCCACAAAUUUUGGCUGUCUGUCAAGGUUAGCAAAAUUGAUGAACUGCUGAUCAUUGCCUCCAAAUUACUAUCAGCUAGUUAACAGUUUUGUUGAAUCUCACAUUUGAUAUGCUCAUGUUGCACAAGAAUAUAUAUUGCAUGCUAGCAAUAUUCAUUGCAUAUGUUGCAGUAGGCUUUUACAGUGGGAAUCACUGAUCAUUUUAAAGUAAAUUUUGAAAAUGGUUAGAGUGUUUUGUCACGGCAAUAGGGAAAACUGGGAUAUACAAUUAAUUAACAAUAUAAUCUUAUUAAUAAAUCCAAUUUGAAUUGAAUUAAAUAUGGGUUUUGCUUAAAACAAUUUUUAAAAGUUUACUGAUCAUCUGUGAUAAAUAAAUUUGCAAGAAAAGAAUUCAAUCUUAGAAUCAUAGUGCUAGAAGAGUCCACUGAGACCAACCUCUGUUCAGCACAGGAAUGCAAAUUACAGCAUCCUCAAAGAUGGGUGCCUAGACUUUUUUUUAACACAUCUAGCAAAGCAGAGCCCACUGCUACUCCAUGUAAUUGAUUUCACUUCAGAUCUGUCUUCCUGUAACUUACUUAUGUCCUACACUCUGGAACAACAGAGAACAAGUCUUGACCUACCUCUGUGUGAUACGUUACAAGUAUUUGAGGAGUGCUUUUUUUUUCCUCUCUCUCUCUCUCUACUCUCCCUCCCACCCCAAUCUUUCUCAAAGUUAAUCAUUUCAGUUCCUUCAGUCUUUCUUCACUAGUCCCCUGAUCAUCCUAGUUGCCCUUCUCAAAUAUGUUUGUCUGAAUCCUCUUAAAAGUGUAACACCAGAAUCUUACUUAUGUAUCUGCCUUUCUCUAAUGCUAAUGCCCAUAUACACUCUUCAUUUACUGUACGUCAAAAAUUCAGUCUCCUUGGAGACAGAAAUAAAUGGUUGGAAUAAACAUUAUAGCAUUGUAUCCAAGCUGGUGAAUAGUCAUACCUCUGUCCUAAAUAUAAUUACUUGAGAGCAUUGAAAUCAGUGCUUUGUAUUGGGGUGCUUGAAGGGGAACAAUUGAUAUGUAGAACUUGUCUGCUUUGAAGAACCAGAGAUUUAAAGUUUAUUGAAUUGCUUGUAUUACUGGCAGUUACACAUGUGAAUGUAUGUAUAGAUUCAUAAUCUUAUGUAAAAAUGUAGAAGCAUGUCCUCCUCUUACAGUAAGAAGUCAUAAAAUAUUAACGGUUAUGUUUAAUGUAAGAGAAGCAGUAGGAAGAGUGCUCUACUGAGGGUUCUUAUUACAGAGCCUUCACUAUGCAACAAGUACCAUUACUGUACAUUAUGAUAAAUUGUCAUACAUAAUUGAAAUAAACUGUCAUCACUUUCCAAA